AUUGAACGCUGGCGCCAGGCUUAACACAUGCAAGUCGAACGAGUGGCGGACGGGUGAGUAAUGUCUGGGAAACUGCCUGAUGGAGGGGGAUAACUACUGGAAACGGUAGCUAAUACCGCAUACCAUCAGAUGUGCCCAGAUGGGAUUUGCUUGUUGGUGGGGUAACGGCUCACCAAGGCGACGAUCCCUAGCUGGUCUGAGAGGAUGACCAGCCACACCGGAACUGAGACACGGUCCAGACUCCUACGGGAGGCAGCCGUGGGGAAGAUUGCACAAUGGGCGCAAGCCUGAUGCAGCCAUGCCGCGUGUGUGAAGAAGGUCUUCGGAUUGUAAAGCACUUUAAGUUGGGAGGCGUUACCAACAGAAUAAGGACCGGCUAACUUCGUGCCAGCAGCCGCGGUAAUAC
rnacentral:rRNA from 1 species